rnacentral:rRNA from 1 species
AUGGCCGGGGCAAGCGCGCAGCCGGCGUGGGCGCAGGCGCUCGCGGCGGUGGGCCUCCUCGUCGCGUCGCGCGCCGCGGUGCGCCUUGCGCUGUGGCUCUACGCGGCCUUCCUCCGUCCCGCCAAGCCGCUGCGCCGCCGCUACGGUGCAUGGGCCGUCGUCACGGGCGCCACGGACGGCAUCGGCCGCGCGCUCGCCUUCGAGCUCGCCGCCGCCGGGCUCGGCCUCGUCCUCGUCGGCCGCAGCCCCGAGAAGCUCGCCGCGGUCUCCAAAGAGGUCAGCGCUAGGUUCCCCGGCGCUGAGGUGCGCACCUUCGUCAUCGACUUCGCCGCCGACGGACUCGCCGCUAACGUGGCCGUGCUGGCGGAGUCCAUCCGGGGACUCGACGUCGGCGUGCUCGUCAACAAUGCGGGUCACGGCUACCCGUAUGCCCGCUACUUCCACGAGGUGGACGAGGAGCUCAGGAGGAACCUGAUACGCCUCAACGUCGAGGCCGUCACCCGGGUGACGCACGCCGUGCUCCCUGGCAUGGUGGAGCGCAAGCGCGGCGCCGUGGUGAACAUCGGAUCCGGCGCCGCCUCCAUCAUGCCGUCCACCCCGCUCUACACCGUCUACGCCGCCACCAAGGCAUAUGCUGAUCAAUUCUCGCGAAGCCUAUAUGUCGAGUAUAAGAACAAAGGCAUCGAUGUGCAAUGCCAGGUACCCAUGUACGUGGCGACGAAGAUGGCCUCAAUUAGGCAGGCCUCCCUGUUUGCCCCGUCACCGGAGACGUAUGCCCGCGCCGCCGUGCGCUACAUUGGGUACGAGCCUCGGUGCGCGCCCUACUGGCCGCACGCCCUCCUGUGGUUCCUCUUCUCCGUGGUGCCUGAGCCCCUCGUCGAUGGGUACGUCCUCGGCAUGUCCCUCGGUAUCCGCAAAAUGGGCCGCGCCAAGGAGGCCAGGAAGAAAGCGACGUGA